rnacentral:rRNA from 1 species
CAGUAGCCACGGUAAUACGUAGGGUGCAAGCGUUAAUCGGAAUUACUGGGCGUAAAGCGUGCGCAGGCGGUGUUGUAAGACUGAUGUGAAAUCCCCGGGCUCAACCUGGGAACUGCAUUGGUGACUGCAACGCUGGAGUGCGGCAGAGGGGGAUGGAAUUCCGCGUGUAGCAGUGAAAUGCGUAGAUAUGCGGAGGAACACCGAUGGCGAAGGCAAUCCCCUGGGCCUGCACUGACGCUCAUGCACGAAAGCGUGGGGAGCAAACGGGAUUAGAUACCCCCGUAGUCCCUGUCUCUUAUAA